GCAGAAAGCGUCUAGCCAUGGCGUUAGUAUGAGUGUCGUGCAGCCUCCAGGACCCCCCCUCCCGGGAGAGCCAUAGUGGUCUGCGGAACCGGUGAGUACACCGGAAUUGCCAGGACGACCGGGUCCUUUCUUGGAUUAACCCGCUCAAUGCCUGGAGAUUUGGGCGUGCCCCCGCGAGACUGCUAGCCGAGUAGUGUUGGGUCGCGAAAGGCCUUGUGGUCCUGCCUGAUAGGGUGCUUGCGAGUGCCCCGGAAGG
rnacentral:other from 1 species